rnacentral:misc_RNA from 1 species
GAUGAAGAACGUAGUAAAAUGCGAUAAGUAAUGUGAAUUGCAGAAUUCAGUGAAUCAUCGAAUCUUUGAACGCACAUUGCGCCCGCCAGUAUUCUGGCGGGCAUGCCUGUUCGAGCGUCAUUUCAACCCUCAAGCACAGCUUGGUGUUGGGACUCGCGUUAAUUCGCGUUCCUCAAAUUGAUUGGCGGUCACGUCGAGCUUCCAUAGCGUAGUAGUAAAACCCUCGUUACUGGUAAUCGUCGCGGCCACGCCGUUAAACCCCAACUUCUGAAUGUUGACCUCGGAUCAGGUAGGAAUACCCGCUGAACUUAAGCAUAUCAAUAAGCGAGGA